GACGAACGCUGGCGGCGUGCUUAACACAUGCAAGUCGAACGGUGACGCCCUGGCUUGUUGGGGUGGUUCAGUGGCGAACGGGUGAGUAACACGUGAGUAACCUGCCCCUGACUCUGGGAUAAGCUCAGGAAACGGAGUCUAAUACUGGAUACGAGAUAGUUCCGCAUGGGGGGUUUGUGGAAGGUUUUUCGGUUGGGGAUGGACUGGCGGCCUAUCAGCUUGUUGGUGGGGUAGUGGCUUACCAAGGCGAGGACGGGUAGCCGGCUGGGGAGGGCGACCGGCCAGACGGGGACUGAGUCACGCCCCGGACUCCUACGUGCGGCAGCGGGGGGGAAGAUGGCACAGGGGACGAAGGCCGGAGUCAGCCACCCCGGGUGGGGGAGAACGGCCUUCGGUUGGGAAACCACUUUCAUCAGGGCGGAAUGUUAAGGAACGUAACGGGCAAAAAAGCCCCGGCUAACUUCGUG
rnacentral:rRNA from 1 species